AUAUCUCACAUCAUCCAUUUCUACUUUCAUCAUUCUCUGGAUCGUUUCCCCAAUCACGACACACCCUUUGGCGGCGAUGGCCGCACAACCAUUAUCAACACGAGGGAAUGCUCCACUUUUCGUCAGAUGUUUUGGGACCACAGAUAUUGGAACUUUUAACCGAUCCUCCUCAGUCACCUCUAUUUUUCCCUUAUCCUCUGACAUC
rnacentral:lncRNA from 1 species